GAUGAACGCUGGCGGCGUGCUUAACACAUGCAAGUCGGACGGAAAGAGGUGCUUCCUGUUGCGGUCAGGUGAGCAACGCGUAAGAACCUGCCCCGGGGAGCGGAACAAUAGCUGGCAACGGUUGCUAAUAGACCCUAGGACGAGGAGCAAAUGGAGGAAUCAACCGGAGGAUGGGCUGGCGUCGGACUAGCUAGUUGGUGAGGUUAUGGGUUACCAAGGCGAUGUUCAGUAGCUGACCCGUGAGGAUGUCCAGCGACACUGGGACUGAGACACGGUCCAGACUCCGACGGGAGGCAGCAGCAGGCAACUGCGGGAGACGGGAGAAAGCAUGAUUCAGCAAUGGCGCGUGGGUGAAGAAGGUCUUCGGAUGGUGAAGCAGUAUGACUAGGGAUGAAGAACUGUUUAUCCAGGCGUAGAAGCCUUGACGGUACCUGGAGAAUAAGCAACGGCUAACUAUGUG
rnacentral:rRNA from 1 species